CAGAGAUCCAGGCUGGCUCUGGAUGUGUGCUUCAGUCAGAGGUUUUGACCUGUGUGUGUAUCAGUGAAGGGUUUCCUUUACCUACCAUCAAAUGGCCGCUCCUAAAGAACCACACUGAGUAUUCUGUCAUUAUUACGGUCUCUAAACACACAGUCAACAGCACUGUCAGUGUAACUGUAAACAAACAUAGCAACAGCACUGUGGAAUGUGUGAGUAACAAUGGAAAUGGAGAGAAUAGAGAAAACCUACUGAUCCACCAAAACUUGCCUGAAAAACAUGAGCAAUCAUCUAAUUUAAGGGUGGGAUACAUGAAAGCCAUCAUUGGCAUUUUGGCUGCAGUACUUCUUUCAGCAAUCGUUUGCCGUUUUACCAAAAAUUGGUACAGAAAAAAUCAGAAGACCUCAAGAAAUUCAGAUGAGACUUUGGAGAUGGAGAAACAUCAAGAUGAUAAACUG